rnacentral:rRNA from 1 species
UACGAAGGGGGCUAGCGUUGUUCGGAAUCACUGGGCUUAAAGGGCGCGUAGGCGGGUGGCCAAGUCGGUGGUGAAAUCCUCCAGCUCAACUGGAGAAUUGCCUUCGAUACUGGUUGUCUUGAGGGGGGUAGGGGCAGACGGAACUUCCGGUGGAGCGGUGAAAUGCGUAGAUAUCGGAAGGAACGCCGGCGGCGAAAGCGGUCUGCUGGACCCUCACUGACGCUGAGGCGCGAAAGCCAGGGGAGCAAACGGG